UGUGAGCUCGAUGAGUAGGGCGGGACACGUGGUAUCCUGUCUGAAUAUGGGGGGACCAUCCUCCAAGGCUAAAUACUCCUGACUGACCGAUAGUGAACCAGUACCGUGAGGGAAAGGCGAAAAGAACCCCGGCGAGGGGAGUGAAAAAGAACCUGAAACCGUGUACGUACAAGCAGUGGGAGCCUCUUAAUGGGGUGACUGCGUACCUUUUGUAUAAUGGGUCAGCGACUUAUAUUCUGUAGCAAGGUUAACCGAAUAGGGGAGCCGAAGGGAAACCGAGUCUUAACUGGGCGUUAAGUUGCAGGGUAUAGACCCGAAACCCGGUGAUCUAGCCAUGGGCAGGUUGAAGGUUGGGUAACACUAACUGGAGGACCGAACCGACUAAUGUUGAAAAAUUAGCGGAUGACUUGUGGCUGGGGGUGAAAGGCCAAUCAAACCGGGAGAUAGCUGGUUCUCCCCGAAAGCUAUUUAGGUAGCGCCUCGUGAAUUCAUCUCCGGGGGUAGAGCACUGUUUCGGCAAGGGGGUCAUCCCGACUUACCAACCCGAUGCAAACUGCGAAUACCGGAGAAUGUUAUCACGGGAGACACACGGCGGGUGCUAACGUCCGUCGUGAAGAGGGAAACAACCCAGACCGCCAGCUAAGGUCCCAAAGUCAUGGUUAAGUGGGAAACGAUGUGGGAAGGCCCAGACAGCCAGGAUGUUGGCUUAGAAGCAGCCAUCAUUUAAAGAAAGCGUAAUAGCUCACUGGUCGAGUCGGCCUGCGCGGAAGAUGUAACGGGGCUAAACCAUGCACCGAAGCUGCGGCAGCGACACUAUGUGUUGUUGGGUAGGGGAGCGUUCUGUAAGCCUGCGAAGGUGUGCUGUGAGGCAUGCUGGAGGUAUCAGAAGUGCGAAUGCUGACAUAAGUAACGAUAAAGCGGGUGAAAAGCCCGCUCGCCGGAAGACCAAGGGUUCCUGUCCAACGUUAAUCGGGGCAGGGUGAGUCGACCCCUAAGGCGAGGCCGAAAGGCGUAGUCGAUGGGAAACAGGUUAAUAUUCCUGUACUUGGUGUUACUGCGAAGGGGGGACGGAGAAGGCUAUGUUGGCCGGGCGACGGUUGUCCCGGUUUAAGCGUGUAGGCUGGUUUUCCAGGCAAAUCCGGAAAACCAAGGCUGAGGCGUGAUGACGAGGCACUACGGUGCUGAAGCGACAAAUGCCCUGCUUCCAGGAAAAGCCUCUAAGCAUCAGGUAACAUCAAAUCGUACCCCAAACCGACACAGGUGGUCAGGUAGAGAAUACCAAGGCGCUUGAGAGAACUCGGGUGAAGGAACUAGGCAAAAUGGUGCCGUAACUUCGGGAGAAGGCACGCUGAUAUGUAGGUGAAGCGACUUGCUCGUGGAGCUGAAAUCAGUCGAAGAUACCAGCUGGCUGCAACUGUUUAUUAAAAACACAGCACUGUGCAAACACGAAAGUGGACGUAUACGGUGUGACGCCUGCCCGGUGCCGGAAGGUUAAUUGAUGGGGUUAGCGGUAACGCGAAGCUCUUGAUCGAAGCCCCGGUAAACGGCGGCCGUAACUAUAACGGUCCUAAGGUAGCGAAAUUCCUUGUCGGGUAAGUUCCGACCUGCACGAAUGGCGUAAUGAUGGCCAGGCUGUCUCCACCCGAGACUCAGUGAAAUUGAACUCGCUGUGAAGAUGCAGUGUACCCGCGGCAAGACGGAAAGACCCCGUGAACCUUUACUAUAGCUUGACACUGAACAUUGAG
rnacentral:rRNA from 1 species